AUACGGAGGGUGCAAGCGUUAUUCGGAAUCACUGGGCGUAAAGGACGCGUAGGCGGGUUGGCAAGUCAGAUGUGAAAUCCUACAGCUUAACUGUAGAACUGCAUUUGAAACUGCUAACCUAGAGUAUGGGAGGGGGAGAUGGAAUUAGUGGGGUAGGGGUAAAAUCCGUAAAUAUCACUAGGAAUACCGAAAGCGAAGGCGAUCUCCUGGAACAUAACUGACGCUAAGGCGUGAAAGCGUGGGGAGCAAACAGGAUUAGAAACCCUAGUAGUCC
rnacentral:rRNA from 1 species